GACGAACGCUGGCGGCGUGCCUUACACAUGCAAGUCGAACGGCAAGGCCCUACUUUUGUGCUCUGCUCGAGUGGCGAACUGGUGAGUAACACGUGAGUAACCUGCCCUUGACUUUGGGAUAACUUCAGGAAAUUGGGGCUAAUACCGGAUAGGAUCUCCUGCUCCAUGGUGGGGGUUGGAAAGUUUCGCCGGUUGGGGAUGGAGUCGCGGCUUAUCAUCUUGUUGGUUGGGUAGUGGCUUACCAAGGCUGUGACGGGUAGCAGGCAUGAGAGGGUGAACGGGGACAAUAGGACUGAGAGACGGACCAGACUAGUACGGGAGGCAGUAGAGGGGAAUAUUGCAGAAUGAGCGGAAGCGGGAGAAAGAAACUCCGCGGGCGGGAUGACGGUUUUCGGGUGAAAAACAGCUGUGGGAUGUAACGAAGAGUGAGUGACGGUAAUGGAUAAAGAAGCACCGGCUAACUACGUG
rnacentral:rRNA from 1 species